rnacentral:rRNA from 1 species
GGCGCUGGUGGUUUUGUAAGUCGGAUGUGAAAUCUCCUGGCUCAACUGGGAGAGGUCAUUCGAUACUGUGAAACUUGAGAGCAAUAGAGGUAGGUGGAAUUCCCGGUGUAGUGGUGAAAUGCGUAGAUAUCGGGAGGAACACCAGUGGCGAAAGCGACCUACUGGGUUGUUUCUGACACUCAGGCCCGAAAGUGUGGGGAGCAAACAGGAUUAGAUACCCUGGUAGUCCACACUAUAAACAAUGGACACUAGAUAUGGGGAGUAUCGACCCUCUCCGUGUCGAAGCCAACGCGUUAAGUGUCCCGCCUGGGGAGUACGGCCGCAAGGCUAAA